CGAAGGGGGCUAGCGUUGCUCGGAAUUACUGGGCGUAAAGGGCGCGUAGGCGGCGCUGCAAGUCAGGCGUGAAAUUCCUGGGCUUAACCUGGGGGCUGCGCUUGAGACUGUGGUGCUAGAGGAUGGAAGAGGGUCGUGGAAUUCCCAGUGUAGAGGUGAAAUUCGUAGAUAUUGGGAAGAACACCGGUGGCGAAGGCGGCGACCUGGUCCAUUACUGACGCUGAGGCGCGACAGCGUGGGGAGCAAACAGGAUU
rnacentral:rRNA from 1 species